GACGAACGCUGGCGGCGUGCCUAAUACAUGCAAGUAGAACGCACAGUUUAUACCGUAGCUUGCUACACCAUAGACUGUGAGUUGCGAACGGGUGAGUAACGCGUAGGUAACCUGCCUGGUAGCGGGGGAUAACUAUUGGAAACGAUAGCUAAUACCGCAUAAUAUUGAUUAUUGCAUGAUAAUUGAUUGAAAGAUGCUAUUGCAUCACUACCAGAUGGACCUGCGUUGUAUUAGCUAGUAGGUGAGGUAACGGCUCACCUAGGCGACGAUACAUAGCCGACCUGAGAGGGUGAUCGGCCACACUGGGACUGAGACACGGCCCAGACUCCUACGGGAGGCAGCAGUAGGGAAUCUUCGGCAAUGGACGAAAGUCUGACCGAGCAACGCCGCGUGAGUGAAGAAGGUUGUCGGAUCGUAAAGCUCGGUUGUAAGAGAAGAACGGGUGUGAGAGUGGAAAGUUCACACUGUGACGGUAUCUUAACAGAAAGGGACGGCUAACUACGUG
rnacentral:rRNA from 1 species